GAUGAACGCUGGCGGCGUGCUUAACACAUGCAAGUCGAACGAACCUUCGGGUUAGUGGCGGACGGGUGAGUAACGCGUGAGAAUCUGCCCUCAGGAGGGGGACAACAGCUGGAAACGGCUGCUAAUACCCCAUAUGCCGAGAGGUGAAAUGAAUUUCGCCUGAGGAUGAGCUCGCGUCUGAUUAGCUAGUUGGUGAGGUAAAGGCUCACCAAGGCAUCGAUCAGUAGCUGGUCUGAGAGGAUGAUCAGCCACACUGGGACUGAGACACGGCCCAGACUCCUACGGGAGGCAGCAGUGGGGAAUUUUCCGCAAUGGGCGAAAGCCUGACGGAGCAACGCCGCGUGAGGGAUGAAGGCCUCUGGGCUGUAAACCUCUUUUCUCAAGGAAGAAGAUCUGACGGUACUUGAGGAAUAAGCCACGGCUAAUUCCGUG
rnacentral:rRNA from 1 species